rnacentral:tRNA from 1 species
GGGGUUGUGGCUCAGUGGUGGAGUGCUUGCCUAGCAUGCAUGAGGCACUGGGUUCGAUCCCCAGCACCACA